CUGUAAGCUAGGUGUUGCUAGCAACUGGCUGACUCAUGCAGUAACGUUAGCAGGCUGGCAGUGGUGUAAAGCACUUAAGUCAUGGGGUAUCUGUACUUUACAAUUUAAUAUUUUUAACUACUUUUACUCCACUACAUUCCUAAAGAAAAUAAUGUACUUUCUACUCAAUACAUUUUCCCUGACACCCAAAAGUGUUUGCGUUCUUAGGAAACUAUGCAGUAUUUUUGUUUUUUUAAUGUAUUUUUUCGUACACUGUUACCCCAGGAAAUCUUAAGUCUUAAUACAUACAGCCGGAAAGAAUUAUUGGAUAUAAGAGCAACGUCAACUUACCAACAUUACGACCAGGAAUACAACUUUCCCGAAGCGGAUCCUCUGUUUGGACCACCACCCAGGACAAUGGAUCGGAUCCCAGUAGGUGACCCAAAUCAAUGGCGCCGCAGAAGGGGGCAGAUGGAGCGGGGUUCUGGUCAGGCUCCGUAGACGGGCACAUCGCUCAUGGGAACAUGGCUCACUCGAGACACGCUGUCGGAGUUGGUACAGCCACCUGGUUUCUUCCUGCAUCGCGCCGACAGAAACAAACAUCUCUCUGGUUGGGACCAACAUGGAUGAGUACCUGCACCAGGCGGAGGUGACGAGACACCACCCAUUUGUGUUGGCUCUUGGAGAAUGCUGACAUUUUGUUUACAGUAAUUAGUGGACUGGCAUUGGAGCAAGGUACACUGCUUGGGGCACUGGAUGUGUGAUUCAAGUCCUAUUAUGUGUUUUGAUAUCAACUUUCCCACUGUGACCAGCAUGGGAACUCCUGAAGACCACAAUGUAUCAGCUGCCAGGAAUAUAAUUUUUCACUGAACAAUAGUGGAUAAGUAUCUGCUCUUGUAUGUACUGUGAGAAGUGACCGGAGGAAGCAUUUUGG